rnacentral:rRNA from 1 species
ACAAAGUUAACUUAACCUAUGGAUGGGAAUAACCUCGGGAAACUGAGAAUAAUACCCAAUGGGCCACAGUGCCUGGAAUGGCCUGUGGUUGAAAUGAUUUAUCGCCGUAAGAUAGGCAGGAAACCUGCGGCCUAUCAGCUUGUUGGUGAGGAUUAAACUGAGCCCACCAAGGCUAUAACAGGUACGGGCUCUGAGAGGAGGGGCCCGGAGAUGGGUACUGAGACACGGACCCAGGCCCUAUGGGGCGCAGCAGGCGAGAAACCUUUGCAAUGUGCGAAAGCACGACAAGGUUAAUCCGAGUGUCUCCUGCUAAAGGAGUCUUUAGUCAGUUGUAAAAUCACUGGUGAAUACGGGGUGGGCAAGUUCUGGUGUCAGCCGCCGCGGUAAAACC